UGUCUCGGGCCUCCAUAUGCGCACCUUAUUAAGCCUGUUUGCACUUGAAAACAGGAAGCUUGGAGUUGUAGAGAAGCCAGACACAAAGUGCAUUAUAAAGAUGGAAUUUAUAGCUAGAUUGACAUGGAAGGACUGAUUGUAUUACUGUACAAAAAAUAUAUAACCAGAUGCACAGCACAUCAAAACCAGAACCCUGGGGAAUGGAAAACGUUUGCGGCUGAAGCAUUAAACUACUCGCGGAGGAACAUUGUUUUGGUAGUUUCGGCUCCACUAUUCUGCACGGAUGAAUCUGUCACCACUGCUAAUGUUUCCAGACACCAAAACUCUCCCAAAUAAUCAAAGAAGAAGGAAAAUGAAAGAAUCUGAAAAUUGUUUGAUGAGCUGGAAUGAACAUCUGUGACAUCUAGAAGAAACAUUUGAGACAUUGUUGACUCUUAAAUGGGCUCUCCAUUAUGUCACCUGAGCUACAAAACAGAAAGCUCUUGUCAUGAUUACAAGGGAAUACUGACAUUUACACCAGGUACGCACUAACACACCCUAAUGCUGAGGAUGCUGGAAAAUGUUCUCAUUCUGCAUGAACAAAGCAGUGUUCUUUACAGAGUUCUGGGCUUUCCGCCCAUGUUUUUGAUCCAAGGAUUUAAGGCAUUCUGACAACAUGGAACAUUUGUGAGAUUACUGUAGGGAGUGAUUCUGUUCCGGCUGGCGGAAGGAUUCAAGUUCAGCUGGUUCCCCUUCAAGUCAGGCAUCAUUACAGACAUCCUGCGGAGGCAGAAGGGCUUUCUAAAACGGACCAUUUCCAGGUUCUCAUGCAGUCACAACAGAGAGCUCACAAUCUCCAUUUCACUUAGAGAGCCAUGUGAUGUCAAAUAAAUGUACUGGAUUUAAUAAAUGUUAACUUUUAAUCACAUCUUU